AGAGUUUGAUCAUGGCUCAGGAUGAACGCUAGCUACAGGCUUAACACAUGCAAGUCGAGGGGAAACGACAUCGAAAGCUUGCUUUUGAUGGGCGUCGACCGGCGCACGGGUGAGUAACGCGUAUCCAACCUGCCCACCACUUGGGGAUAACCUUGCGAAAGUAAGACUAAUACCCAAUGACGUCUCUAGAAGACAUCUGAAGGAGAUUAAAGAUUUAUCGGUGAUGGAUGGGGAUGCGUCUGAUUGGCUUGUUGGCGGGUAACGGCCACCAAGGCGACGAUCAGUAGGGGUUCUGAGAGGAAGGUCCCCCANAUUGGAACUGAGACACGGUCCAAACUCCUACGGGAGCA
rnacentral:rRNA from 1 species